CCGAGUUUACAACACCCAAACCCCUGUGAACAUACCACUUGUUGCCUCGGCGGAUCAGCCCGCUCCCGGUAAAACGGGACGGCCCGCCAGAGGACCCCUAAACUCUGUUUCUAUAUGUAACUUCUGAGUAAAACCAUAAAUAAAUCA
rnacentral:misc_RNA from 1 species